UAAGUAAGUGGUGGAAAUUAAACCAAAUGGGAUAUCUUUAGUAAUUGCGAAUGAACAAGGAUAUGCUUAGCUUGACAAAUGGAGCUAUUGGCUUUGAAUUGUAUUUGUGGAAUGUAUUACCAACAGAGGUGCAGGUGCCAGCCUAUUAAAUAAAGCGUCAAUGAGGGUGAGAAUCCUGUUUGUCAUGUGCAGCCCUUUGUGCACGGUGUAUAUUUGCUGAGUCACACUCCUUGGCAUUGGAAUGCAAAGUGGGUGGUAAGUUUCAUGUACAGGUAAACAUGCAAUUGAGACUGAUAGCACACAAGUACCAUGAGGGAAAUAUGAAAAGGACUUUGAAAAGAGAAUUAAAUGAGUUUGUAUUUGCUGAACACAAAGUAAACAGACUUGAUUUGCUUGGUGGGAGUGUUGCACUUGCUUGACAAGAGCUUUGGGCUGUGGGUGCAAUGAUUCUUUCUUUGCAUGCCAGUUUCUAUGUGUACAUCUGAUUACCUUUGCACAUGAAUGAUAAGUCUCCUGUGGGGGGUGGAUUGCAUGUGCAUGUAAUGAUUUGUGUUUUGAUAAAUGUGUCUGGUGUAUGUGUGUGUGUUCCUGUGCUUGGGGAUGCUUCCUUCCUUGGACUUACAAGCCCUGACACACACAUGCUGGCAAAAUGCUUCUGCUUGACCCG
rnacentral:rRNA from 1 species